UACUCCUACGGGAGGCAGCAGUGGGGAAUAUUGGACAAUGGGGGCAACCCUGAUCCAGCAAUUCUGUGUGCACGAUGAAGGUCUUCGGAUUGUAAAGUGCUUUCAGCAGGGAAGAAAAAAAUGACGGUACCUGCAGAAGAAGCGACGGCUAAAUACGUGCCAGCAGCCGCGGUAAUACGUAUGUCGCGAGCGUUAUCCGGAAUUAUUGGGCAUAAAGGGCAUCUAGGCGGCCCUGUAAGUCUAGGGUGAAAACCUGCGGCUCAACCGCAGGCCUGCCCCGGAAACUACAGGGCUAGAGUGCUGGAGAGGUGGACGGAACUGCACGAGUAGAGGUGAAAUUCGUAGAUAUGUGCAGGAAUGCCGAUGAUGAAGAUAGUUCACUGGACGGCAACUGACGCUGAAGUGCGAAAGCUAGGGGAGCAAACAGGAUUAGAUACCCUGGUAGUCCUAGCUGUAAACGAUGAUUACUGGGUGUGGGCAUGAAGAGUGUCCGUGCCGAAGCUAAUGCGAUAAGUAAUCCGCCUGGGGAGUACGGCCGCAAGGCUGAAACUCAAAGGAAUUGACGGA
rnacentral:rRNA from 1 species